rnacentral:rRNA from 1 species
AGGGAAUCUUCCGCAAUGGACGAAAGUCUGACGGAGCAACGCCGCGUGAGUGAUGAAGGUUUUCGGAUCGUAAAGCUCUGUUGCCAGGGAAGAACGUCUUCUGGAGUAACUGCCAGGAGAGUGACGGUACCUGAGAAGAAAGCCCCGGCUAACUACGUGCCAGCAGCCGCGGUAAUACGUAGGGGGCAAGCGUUGUCCGGAAUUAUUGGGCGUAAAGCGCGCGCAGGCGGCUGUUUAAGUCGGGUGUUUAAUCCUGGGGCUCAACCCCGGGUCGCACUGGAAACUGGACGGCUUGAGUGCAGAAGAGGAGAGUGGAAUUCCACGUGUAGCGGUGAAAGGCGUAGAGAUGUGGAGGAACACCAGUGGCGAAGGCGACUCUCUGGGCCGUAACUGACGCUGAGGCGCGAAAGCGUGGGGAGCAAAC